UUUUAAUGCUAUAUUUUGGCUCUUUUUUUUACUUAUUUCGUAAAUUUCAGUAUUUAAACUAGGAUUAGAUACCCUAUUAUUCUGUUAUUUAAAUUUUAUUAUACCUAGGUAGUAAUAGUUAUGGUCUUGAAACUUAAAAAAUUUGGCGGUAUUUUAGUCUAUUCAGAGGAACCUGUUCUGUAAUCGAUAAUCCACGUUGGAUCUUACUUGAUUUUUGUUUGUAUACCGCCGUUAUUGAAUAUUUUAUUAGAAUAAUAAUUUUCAAUCGUUUUUAUAAAAAUUAAUAUCAGGUCAAGGUGCAGCUUAUGGUUAAGUUUAAAAUGGGUUACAAUAAAUUUAUUUAUUGCGGAUUUUGAAUUUAAAUUUUUGAUUGAAGAUGGAUUUGAUAGUAAGGUUAUUGAGAUUGUUAAUUUGAUUUUGGCUCUAAAGUAUGUAC
rnacentral:rRNA from 1 species